UAAAGCGUGCGCAGGCGGUUUUGUAAGUUUGUCGUGAAAUCCCCGGGCUCAACCUGGGAAUGGCGAUGAAGACUGCAAGGCUAGAGUUUGGCAGAGGGGGGUAGAAUUCCACGUGUAGCAGUGAAAUGCGUAGAUAUGUGGAGGAACACCGAUGGCGAGGCAGCCCCCUGGGUCAAAACUGACGCUCAUGCACGAAAGCGUGGGGAGCAAACAGGAUUAGAUACCCGAGU
rnacentral:rRNA from 1 species